UGGGAAGUCCUCGUGUUGCAUCCCUU
rnacentral:rRNA from 1 species